AACGAACGCUGGCGGCAGGCUUAACACAUGCAAGUCGAACGAGAACGCACCUUCGGGUGUUAUUAAAGUGGCAAACGGGUGAGUAACACGUGGGAAUGUACCUUUUGGCUCGGGACAACAGUUGGAAACGACUGCUAAUACCGAAUAAGCUCUACGGAGGAAAGAUUUAUUGCCGAAAGAUCAGCCCGCGCUAGAUUAGUUUGUUGGUGAGGUAAUGGCUCACCAAGGCUACGAUCUAUAGCUGGUCUGAGAGGAUGAUCAGCCACACUGGGACUGAGAUACGGCCCAG
rnacentral:rRNA from 1 species